ACAGCCUUACCACAUUGAAAACACUGGUUCUUGUUCAAUCACUGAAGUUAAGCAAUGUCGGGCCUGGUCAGCACUUAGGAGGGUGACCACUUGGUGUCAGCAGCC